rnacentral:rRNA from 1 species
GGGUUGUGAGGUUAAGCGACUAAGCGUACACGGUGGAUGCCCUGGCAGUCAGAGGCGAUGAAGGACGUGCUAAUCUGCGAAAAGCGUCGGUAAGGUGAUAUGAACCGUUAUAACCGGCGAUGUCCGAAUGGGGAAACCCAGUGCAAUUCGUUGCACUAUCGUUAACUGAAUACAUAGGUUAACGAGGCGAACCGGGGAACUGAAACAUCUAAGUACCCCGAGGAAAAGAAAUCAACCGAGAUUCCCCAGUAGCGGCGAGCGAACGGGGAGCAGCCCAGAGUCUGAAUCAGCUUGUGUGUUAGUGGAACGGUCUGGAAAGUCCGACGGUACAGGGUGAUAGUCCCGUACACCAAAAUGCACAGGUUGUGAACUCGAAGAGUAGGGCGGGACACGUGGUAUCCUGUCUGAAUAUGGGGACCAUCCUCCAAGGCUAAAUACUCCUGACUGACCGAUAGUGAACCAGUACCGUGAGGGAAAGGCGAAAAGAACCCCGGCGAGGGGAGUGAAAAGAACCUGAAACCGUGUACGUACAAGCAGUGGGAGCACCUUCGGGUGUGACUGCGUACCUUUUGUAUAAUGGGUCAGCGACUUAUAUUCUGUAGCAAGGUUAACCGUAUAGGGGAGCCGCAGGGAAACCGAGUCUUAACUGGGCGUUAAGUUGCAGGGUAUAGACCCGAAACCCGGUGAUCUAUGGGCAGGUUGAAGGUUGGGUAACACUAACUGGAGGACCGAACCGACUAAUGUUGAAAAAUUAGCGGAUGACUUGUGGCUGGGGGUGAAAGGCCAAUCAAACCGGGAGAUAGCUGGUUCUCCCCGAAAGCUAUUUAGGUAGCGCCUCGUGAAUUCAUCUUCGGGGGUAGAGCACUGUUUCGGCUAGGGGGUCAUCCCGACUUACCAACCCGAUGCAAACUACGAAUACCGAAGAAUGUUAUCACGGGAGACACACGGCGGGUGCUAACGUCCGUCGUGAAGAGGGAAACAACCCAGACCGCCAGCUAAGGUCCCAAAGUCAUGGUUAAGUGGGAAACGAUGUGGGAAGGCACAGACAGCCAGGAUGUUGGCUUAGAAGCAGCCAUCAUUUAAAGAAAGCGUAAUAGCUCACUGGUCGAGUCGGCCUGCGCGGAAGAUGUAACGGGGCUAAACCAUGCACCGAAGCUGCGGCAGCGACACUAUGUGUUGUUGGGUAGGGGAGCGUUCUGUAAGCCUGCGAAGGUGACCUGUGAGGGUUGCUGGAGGUAUCAGAAGUGCGAAUGCUGACAUAAGUAACGAUAAAGCGGAUGAAAAGCCCGCUCGCCGGAAGACCAAGGGUUCCUGUCCAACGUUAAUCGGGGCAGGGUGAGUCGACCCUAAGGCGAGGCCGAAAGGCGUAGUCGAUGGGAAACAGGUUAAUAUUCCUGUACUUGGUGUUACUGCGAAGGGGACGGAGAAGGCUAUGUUAGCCGGGCGACGGUUGUCCCGGUUUAAGCAUGUAGGCUGAUUGUCCAGGCAAAUCCGGAUAAUCAAGGCUGAGGUGUGAUGACGAGGCACUACGGUGCUGAAGUAACAAAUGCCCUGCUUCCAGGAAAAGCCUCUAAGCAUCAGGUAACAUCAAAUCGUACCCCAAACCGACACAGGUGGUCAGGUAGAGAAUACCAAGGCGCUUGAGAGAACUCGGGUGAAGGAACUAGGCAAAAUGGUGCCGUAACUUCGGGAGAAGGCACGCUGGUGUGUAGGUGAAGCCCCUGCGGGUGGAGCUGAGACCAGUCGAAGAUACCAGCUGGCUGCAACUGUUUAUUAAAAACACAGCACUGUGCAAACACGAAAGUGGACGUAUACGGUGUGACGCCUGCCCGGUGCCGGAAGGUUAAUUGAUGGGGUUAUCCGUAAGGAGAAGCUCUUGAUCGAAGCCCGGUAAACGGCGGCCGUAACUAUAACGGUCCUAAGGUAGCGAAAUUCCUUGUCGGGUAAGUUCCGACCUGCACGAAUGGCGUAAUGAUGGCCAGGCUGUCUCCACCCGAGACUCAGUGAAAUUGAACUCGCUGUGAAGAUGCAGUGUACCCGCGGCAAGACGGAAAGACCCCGUGAACCUUUACUAUAGCUUGACACUGAACAUUGAGCCUUGAUGUGUAGGAUAGGUGGGAGGCUUUGAAGCGUGGACGCCAGUCUGCGUGGAGCCAACCUUGAAAUACCACCCUUUAAUGUUUGAUGUUCUAACGUUGGCCCCCGGGGUUGCGGACAGUGUCUGGUGGGUAGUUUGACUGGGGCGGUCUCCUCCCAAAGCGUAACGGAGGAGCACGAAGGUUAGCUAAUCCUGGUCGGACAUCAGGAGGUUAGUGCAAUGGCAUAAGCUAGCUUGACUGCGAGCGUGACGGCGCGAGCAGGUGCGAAAGCAGGUCAUAGUGAUCCGGUGGUUCUGAAUGGAAGGGCCAUCGCUCAACGGAUAAAAGGUACUCCGGGAUAACAGGCUGAUACCGCCCAAGAGUUCAUAUCGACGGCGGUGUUUGGCACCUCGAUGUCGGCUCAUCACAUCCUGGGGCUGAAGUAGGUCCCAAGGGUAUGGCUGUUCGCCAUUUAAAGUGGUACGCGAGCUGGGUUUAGAACGUCGUGAGACAGUUCGGUCCCUAUCUGCCGUGGGCGCUGGAGAAUUGAGGGGGGCUGCUCCUAGUACGAGAGGACCGGAGUGGACGCAUCACUGGUGUUCGGGUUGUCAUGCCAAUGGCACUGCCCGGUAGCUAAAUGCGGAAGAGAUAAGUGCUGAAAGCAUCUAAGCACGAAACUUGCCCCGAGAUGAGUUCUCCCUGAGACUUUAAGUCUCCUGAAGGAACGUUAAAGACGAUGACGUUGAUAGGCCGGGUGUGUAAGCGCAGCGAUGCGUUGAGCUAACCGGUACUAAUGAACCGUGAGGCUUAACCUUACAACGCCGAAG